GCCGCGUGAGGGAUGACAGCUUUCGGGUUGUAAACCUCUUUCAGUGAUGACGAAAAUGACGGUAAUCACAGAAGAAGGUCCGGCCAACUACGUGCCAGCAGCCGCGGUAACACGUAGGGACCGAGCGUUGUCCGGAUUUAUUGGGCGUAAGAGCUCGUAGGCGGUUUUGUAAGUCGGAUGUGAAAACUCAGGGCUCAACCCGGAGACGCCAUCCGAUACUGCAAUGACUAGAGUCCGGUAGGGGAGCAUGGAAUUCCUGGUGUAGCGGUGGAAUGCGCAGAUAUCAGGAGGAACACCAGUGGCGAAGGCGGUGCUCUGGGCCGGUACUGACGCUGAGGAGCGAAAGCGUGGGGAGCAAACAGGAUUAGAUACCCUGGUAGUCCACGCCGUAAACGUUGGGCACUAGGUGUGGGGCCUUCUAACGGGUUCUGUGCCGUAGCUAACGCAUUAAGUGCCCCGCCUGGGGAGUACGG
rnacentral:rRNA from 1 species